GGGGUUGUAGUUUAAUCUGGUUAAAACGGCAGUCUUGCAAACUGUCAGAAUUCGGUUCGAGGCCGAAUGACUCCAC
rnacentral:tRNA from 2 species